rnacentral:rRNA from 1 species
GGUUAAGCGACUAAGCGUACACGGUGGAUGCCCUGGCAGUCAGAGGCGAUGAAGGGCGUGCUAAUCUGCGAUAAGCGCCGGUAAGGUGAUAUGAACCGUUAUAACCGGCGAUACCCGAAUGGGGAAACCCAGUGUGACUCGUCACACUAUCAUUAACUGAAUCCAUAGGUUAAUGAGGCGAACCGGGGGAACUGAAACAUCUAAGUACCCCGAGGAAAAGAAAUCAACCGAGAUUCCCCCAGUAGCGGCGAGCGAACGGGGAGGAGCCCAGAGCCUGAAUCAGCAUGUGUGUUAGUGGAAGCGUCUGGAAAGGCGCGCGAUACAGGGUGACAGCCCCGUACACAAAAGCGCAUGUGCUGUGAGCUCGAUGAGUAGGGCGGGACACGUGGUAUCCUGUCUGAAUAUGGGGGGACCAUCCUCCAAGGCUAAAUACUCCUGACUGACCGAUAGUGAACCAGUACCGUGAGGGAAAGGCGAAAAGAACCCCGGCGAGGGGAGUGAAAAAGAACCUGAAACCGUGUACGUACAAGCAGUGGGAGCACAGGUUUACCUGUGUGACUGCGUACCUUUUGUAUAAUGGGUCAGCGACUUAUAUUCUGUAGCAAGGUUAACCGCAUAGGGGAGCCGGAGGGAAACCGAGUCUUAAUUGGGCGUUAAGUUGCAGGGUAUAGACCCGAAACCCGGUGAUCUAGCCAUGGGCAGGUUGAAGGUUGGGUAACACUAACUGGAGGACCGAACCGACUAAUGUUGAAAAAUUAGCGGAUGACCUGUGGCUGGGGGUGAAAGGCCAAUCAAACCGGGAGAUAGCUGGUUCUCCCCGAAAGCUAUUUAGGUAGCGCCUCGUGAAUUCAUCUCCGGGGGUAGAGCACUGUUUCGGCUAGGGGGCCAUCCCGGCUUACCAACCCGAUGCAAACUGCGAAUACCGGAGAAUGUUAUCACGGGAGACACACGGCGGGUGCUAACGUCCGUCGUGAAGAGGGAAACAACCCAGACCGCCAGCUAAGGUCCCAAAGUCAUGGUUAAGUGGGAAACGAUGUGGGAAGGCCCAGACAGCCAGGAUGUUGGCUUAGAAGCAGCCAUCAUUUAAAGAAAGCGUAAUAGCUCACUGGUCGAGUCGGCCUGCGCGGAAGAUGUAACGGGGCUAAACCAUGCACCGAAGCUGCGGCAGCGAACGUAUCACUUAAAGCGAUUCAGCGGGUUACGAUUGACGGAGCGAAGCGACGUCAAAGCGUAUACAAAGUCGAGUCGGUUUAAGGAUACGUUCGUUGGGUAGGGGAGCGUUCUGUAAGCCUGCGAAGGUGGCCUGUGAGGGUUGCUGGAGGUAUCAGAAGUGCGAAUGCUGACAUAAGUAACGAUAAAGCGGGUGAAAAGCCCGCUCGCCGGAAGACCAAGGGUUCCUGUCCAACGUUAAUCGGGGCAGGGUGAGUCGACCCCUAAGGCGAGGCCGAAAGGCGUAGUCGAUGGGAAACGGGUUAAUAUUCCCGUACUUGGUGUUACUGCGAAGGGGGGACGGAGAAGGCUAUGUUGGCCGGGCGACGGUUGUCCCGGUUUAAGCGUGUAGGUGUGUGUUCCAGGUAAAUCCGGUUCACUUUAACACUGAGGCGUGAUGACGAGGCACUACGGUGCUGAAGCAACAAAUGCCCUGCUUCCAGGAAAAGCCUCUAAGCAUCAGGUAACAUCAAAUCGUACCCCAAACCGACACAGGUGGUCAGGUAGAGAAUACCAAGGCGCUUGAGAGAACUCGGGUGAAGGAACUAGGCAAAAUGGUGCCGUAACUUCGGGAGAAGGCACGCUGACACGUAGGUGAAGUGAUUUACUCACGGAGCUGAAGUCAGUCGAAGAUACCAGCUGGCUGCAACUGUUUAUUAAAAACACAGCACUGUGCAAACACGAAAGUGGACGUAUACGGUGUGACGCCUGCCCGGUGCCGGAAGGUUAAUUGAUGGGGUCAGCGCAAGCGAAGCUCCUGAUCGAAGCCCCGGUAAACGGCGGCCGUAACUAUAACGGUCCUAAGGUAGCGAAAUUCCUUGUCGGGUAAGUUCCGACCUGCACGAAUGGCGUAAUGAUGGCCAGGCUGUCUCCACCCGAGACUCAGUGAAAUUGAACUCGCUGUGAAGAUGCAGUGUACCCGCGGCAAGACGGAAAGACCCCGUGAACCUUUACUAUAGCUUGACACUGAACAUUGAGCCUUGAUGUGUAGGAUAGGUGGGAGGCUUUGAAGUGUGGACGCCAGUCUGCAUGGAGCCGACCUUGAAAUACCACCCUUUAAUGUUUGAUGUUCUAACGUGGACCCGUAAUCCGGGUUGCGGACAGUGUCUGGUGGGUAGUUUGACUGGGGCGGUCUCCUCCUAAAGAGUAACGGAGGAGCACGAAGGUUGGCUAAUCCUGGUCGGACAUCAGGAGGUUAGUGCAAUGGCAUAAGCCAGCUUGACUGCGAGCGUGACGGCGCGAGCAGGUGCGAAAGCAGGUCAUAGUGAUCCGGUGGUUCUGAAUGGAAGGGCCAUCGCUCAACGGAUAAAAGGUACUCCGGGGAUAACAGGCUGAUACCGCCCAAGAGUUCAUAUCGACGGCGGUGUUUGGCACCUCGAUGUCGGCUCAUCACAUCCUGGGGCUGAAGUAGGUCCCAAGGGUAUGGCUGUUCGCCAUUUAAAGUGGUACGCGAGCUGGGUUUAGAACGUCGUGAGACAGUUCGGUCCCUAUCUGCCGUGGGCGCUGGAGAACUGAGGGGGGCUGCUCCUAGUACGAGAGGACCGGAGUGGACGCAUCACUGGUGUUCGGGUUGUCAUGCCAAUGGCACUGCCCGGUAGCUAAAUGCGGAAGAGAUAAGUGCUGAAAGCAUCUAAGCACGAAACUUGCCCCGAGAUGAGUUCUCCCUGAGACUUAGAGUCUCCUGAAGGAACGUUGAAGACGACGACGUUGAUAGGCCGGGUGUGUAAGCGCAGCGAUGCGUUGAGCUAACCGGUACUAAUGAACCGUGAGGCUUAACCUU